UCAUAGAUGGCUGAGUGGUCUAAGCGAUAGACUUUUACACCAGGGUCAGUGGUUCGAGCCCAUUUGAG
rnacentral:tRNA from 1 species